rnacentral:rRNA from 1 species
UACGAAGGGUCCAAGCGUUGUUCGGAUUUAUUGGGCGUAAAGCGCGCGCAGGUGGAUCAGCAAGUCAGAUGUGAAAUCUCAGGGCUUAACCCUGAUACUGCGUCUGAAACUGCUAGUCUAGAGUGUUGGAGGGGGUAGGGGAAUUUCACGUGUAGGGGUAAAAUCCGUAGAGAUGUGAAGGAACACCGGAGGCGAAGGCGCCUACCUGGACAACUACUGACACUGAGGCGCGAAAGCCAGGGGAGCAAACGGG